UCACGGUCACAGGAGACUGGGCAACUCCAGUUCUCCCUGUCCCCAGCCCUUCGCCUAGCCCUGGCAAAACCCAUUGCAUCAGCAGCUUCUACAGCUUCCGCCUGCGCCCUACCUGCCAAGCUUGGACAGGAAGAGGAAAGGAAAGAGAAACUUUACUCCAAUCCCCCCUCCUCUGUUAACUUCCCCUCCCACCCUCGAGCCCUAACUAGCCCCUGGGACGCCUCCUCCCCACCAACGCAUCCAUCCCCAGAGGAAAAAGCGAGGAUCUCAGAGCGCGACCUGGGCAGGCUCUCACGGAAGUCACCACGUUUGUGUAGGUAACUAAGGCCUACCGAAACCACUCAGCCCUAAGUGCACACAGGAGAACCAUGGAGUUGGAGGAAAAGAGUUCCACGGGCACGUAUGGUGUAAGGCUUUGAUGGAGAAUGAAUGAAGCUGGACAAGAUGCCAUAAUGCAGUUUCACCAGUGGAGAGAGCCGCCUCUCAUCAGAGGCUUCUGCCUUCACAAAAUAUUGAUGAGGUCCCCGCCACAGUGUCAUUGUCAUGGGAACUGAUAAGGGUGAGAGAAAAGACAAGUGAAGAGAAGAGUGUACCUGAAAUAAAAUCUAGUUGACCACAAA